rnacentral:rRNA from 1 species
UAUACGACCGUACCGCAAACCGACACUGGUGCGCGAGAUGAGUAUUCUAAGGCGCUUGAGAGAACUCAGGAGAAGGAACUCGGCAAAUUGACACCGUAACUUCGGAAGAAGGUGUGCCCUAUUAGUGUGUAGUGAACAACGAAGCAUGAAUGGGUUGCAAAAAAUCGGUGGCUGCGACUGUUUAUUAAAAACACAGCACUCUGCAAACACGAAAGUGGACGUAUAGGGUGUGACGCCUGCCCGGUGCUGGAAGAUUAAAUGAUGGGGUGCAAGCUCUUGAUUGAAGUCCCAGUAAACGGCGGCCGUAACAAUAACGGUCCUAAGGUAGCGAAAUUCCUUGUCGGGUAAGUUCCGACCUGCACGAAUGGCGUAACGAUGGCCACACUGUCUCCUCCUGAGACUCAGCGAAGUUGAAAUGUUUGUGAUGAUGCAAUCUCCCCGCGGAAAGACGGAAAGACCCCAUGAACCUUUACUGUAGCUUUGUAUUGGACUUUGAACAGAUCUGUGUAGGAUAGGUGGGAGGCUUCGAAGCAGGGUCGCUAGAUCUUGUGGAGCCAACGUUGAAAUACCACCCUGGUGUGUUUGAGGUUCUAACCUAGGUCCAUUAUCUGGAUCGGGGACAGUGCAUGGUAGGCAGUUUGACUGGGGCGGUCUCCUCCCAAAGCGUAACGGAGGAGUUCGAAGGUACGCUAGUUACGGUCGGACAUCGUGACGAUAGUGCAAUGGCAUAAGCGUGCUUAACUGCGAGACUGACAAGUCGAGCAGAUGCGAAAGCAGGACAUAGUGAUCCGGUGGUUCUGUAUGGAAGGGCCAUCGCUCAACGGAUAAAAGGUACUCUGGGGAUAACAGGCUGAUACCGCCCAAGAGUUCAUAUCGACGGCGGUGUUUGGCACCUCGAUGUCGGCUCAUCUCAUCCUGGGGCUGUAGCCGGUCCCAAGGGUAUGGCUGUUCGCCAUUUAAAGAGGUACGUGAGCUGGGUAUAAAACGUCGUGAGACAGUUUGGUCCCUAUCUUCCGUGGGCGCUGCAGAUUUGAGGAAGCCUGCUCCUAGUACGAGAGGACCGGAGUGGACACACCUCUGGUGUAUCGGUUGUCACGCCAGUGGCAUUGCCGAGUAGCUAAGUGUGGAAGAGAUAACCGCUGAAAGCAUCUAAGCGGGAAACUCGUUUCAAGAUGAGAUCUGCCGGGGCCUUGAGCCCCCUAAAGAGUCGUUCAAGACCAGGACGUUGAUAGGUCAGGUGUGGAAGCG